GUGCUUGCUUCGUCAGCACAUAUACUAAAAUUGGAAUGAUACAGAGAUUAGCAUGGCCCCUGCUCAAGGAUAACACGUAAUUCUUGAAGCAUUCCAUAUUUUU